GUAGAGUAGGUUCUGUGCGUUAAGUGCCGCGUGUACGGGAUGUUGACCGCGGACGAAGGCUCCAGGCUGUCUUUGAAUGGGCAAAUGGGGGCCGCGAUACAGUGCCGCGUCCGCU
rnacentral:ncRNA from 1 species